AUCCAGCUGACGAGUUCAAAAUAGGACGAAACACGAGUUCUAAAU
rfam:Schistosoma rodhaini strain Burundi genome assembly, scaffold: SROB_scaffold0001486